rnacentral:rRNA from 1 species
GCGAACGCUGGCGGCGUGGAUAAGGCAUGCAAGUCGAGCGAUACCCGCAAGGGUUAGUGGCGAACGGUCGAGUAACACGUAGACAACCUGCCUCCGCAGUGGGGGAUAACCGCCCGAAAGGGCGGCUAAUACCGCAUGUGGCCUGAAAGUGAUGCUUUCAGUGCUAAAGGAGCAAUUCGCUGGGAGAUGGGUCUGCGGCCUAUCAGGUAGUUGGUGGGGUAACGGCCUACCAAGCCGACGACGGGUAGCUGGUCUGAGAGGAUGAUCAGCCGGACGGGGACUGAGACACGGCCCCGACUCCUUCGGGAGGCAGCAAUGAGGAAUCUUGCACAAUGGGCGCAAGCCUGAUGCAGCGACGCCGCGUGGGUGAGGAAGUUCUUCGGAAUGUAAAGCCCUUUUACCGGGGACGAUUAAUGACGGUACCCGGUGAAUAAGCCCCGGCUAACUACGU